rfam:Culex pipiens quinquefasciatus supercont3.1361 genomic scaffold, whole genome shotgun sequence.
GGUCCGGUGACGCAGUGGUUAGCGUAGUUGCCUCUCACCACAUUAUGGCCUGGGUUCAAUCCCAGACGGACCC